CUCCGGGGGGGGCUAACAGUUCCCUCCCUCCCGGGCACCGAGGCACAGUCACAUGCUGCUCACAAGGUUUGGAAGGAAUUUUCACAAGUCACAGAGGCCCUUGGAAAUGUGUUUCCUGGUGGGAAACACAAAGCUGUGAGACAUGAGAUGUUCUCACUCUGGGUGCGAGUGGAAGGUCCAAGGGGAGGAAAUACCCCUCGCACCCCCACAAAAGUGUUUCAAGAGCCAAGUGGAAGGAUGCAGAGGCACAGCAUAGGGCUUCACUAAAUUAAAGAUAAGAUUGGACAACAACAGAAAAUUAAAUAUUGUGGCUGAGAAAAUAAUGGAUAAUCAGGAAAUCUAAGUCCAGCAAAUUCUCACACUUUAACAGAAAGAUUUUCAGUUCCUGAGAAAGAAACAAAUCUGACUACUGGAAAGACCUUCAGGGUGGGAAACUGUGCUGAGAAAGGUCUCAAAAUUUUUCACCAUUGCUCUCUGCUUGGACAUAGCCAGUUAGUGUUGCUCACAUCUCAAUAGACUUGUAAAUG
rnacentral:lncRNA from 1 species